rnacentral:rRNA from 1 species
UACGUAGGUGGCAAGCGUUGUCCGGAUUUACUGGGCGUAAAGGAUGCGUAGGCGGACAUUUUAAGUCAGAUGUGAAAUACCCGAGCUUAACUUGGGUGCUGCAUUUGAAACUGGGUGUCUAGAGUGCAGGAGAGGUAAGUGGAAUUCCUAGUGUAGCGGUGAAAAUGCGUAGAGAUUAGGAAGAACACCGUGGCGAAGGCGACUUACUGGACUGUAACUGACGCUGGAGGCAUGAAAGCGUGGGGGAGCAAACAGG